rnacentral:lncRNA from 1 species
CGUACCGACCGAUGCUUGUCGUGAGAAGGAGGACUUGGUGGAGCUAGUGCUGUGCCAUCGUGGACCAGGCUCAGGGUAUGACCUGGACUCAAGGAGCCUCAAUUCCUCAAGGUCCCAGACUUCUAGUUUUUUUUUUUUUUUUACAAAAUCCUAUUUUUCAAAUUAUACAGCCCCCUCUGCUACAGUGUCCUCCUUCCAGAAAGAGCUCAUGGCACCUUCAGAUCAGAAAUUCUAGCAAAGGUGCAAAGUGAAAUAGCUUCAGCAAACACAGAUGAUGCCACCACCGCUGACGAUGAACAAGAAGAGGAAAA